UUAACUGUGUUUUUCUCUCCACAAAUGCUACAGUAUUUUCUGUUUAUGUAAUGAAAGUCAAUGUCAAGGGUUUGACACCAAGGUAUUGGGGGCAUAAAUAUUUUCAUCAAACUGUUCAGAAAUGCUAUGACACACCUUCAAGGCUAUUGGAACUGGACCUUUGACAACAAUGCAUCUUCAAAUGCCAUAUCUAAUUAAUAGUACAGGUAAACUCUCUCCCUACUCAAUGCAGAAUGCUAUAAUCACAUAGUUAUUGACAAUGCCUAACAGUCAGCAUUCAUGUUUCCUGUCAUCACAAUGCAUCCAAACCUCUGCUCUUGUAUAUUGUCAACUAUGAAAAGCAUGUUAACCAAACACUUUCUUCGCUCUUGCAGAGAAAGAUGACCCCGAUAGACAGCAGUGGCAGAAAAAAAGGAUGCUCUGAUUGGACGCAAUUAGCAGUCUCGAACAGGGGACUCUUAUUCUAUGAUGUCCAGCAGACUGAUCUCAUUACAAUCGAUGCACUCCCAGGCCACUUUCACAAGUUCCUCUUGAGCAAAUUUCCCAUAUACUGCAAACUGUCUUUCAGUUCUGAGUGACUUUAUUUGAUCUCAAAUGACCAUUGUGAGACAGAGUUGGGGAACCUCCUUCUUGUGUUUCCCAGAUACUUUACCGAUGUCUCCCACUUUCUGUUCUGCCACUGCCAAUAUGAUACACUGCAAUGUUUGUGGAAUGCCAGUUAGCUGAACCUGCACAUUGCAGUUGACGUCAUUACUCACAGUAAAAUCAUCCAAGAUUCCGGAUUUAAUAUCCAGUACAGCAAAUCAAGGCUGAGUUCUUAGUCAUUCUCUAAUUCAAGGACACCGAGACCAACGAUAUUGUUUCUGCUGUUAUUCCCGUUGAGAAGGUGACUGCAGAAGCUGAGAAUUGAAUGGAGAUAUUUCUGAUGUAUGUUAUUCAAUGUUGGAUAUCCUUGAACCAUCAAGGAGUAAAUACUUAUCUUUUAUAUUUAAUAAAUUAUAGAUCUAAGGAAGUUUAUAUGAAACAAACACACAAUUCCAAUGCUCAAGGUACUCAGUGUUACAGAUGUGAUCAGGGUUUGAAGAUUUGCUAAAUUUGGUUAAAUAGCAUCUUCAGGAAAUAUUAAGGUAUCUGAAUGUUCUGAAAAAUAUUGGAUUUGUAACUUUCCUUUCUGAACUCUCCUGUCAGAAGAGUGAAAAUGCUGUUGGAUCUGUCUUGGACAUUUAGUUUAGAAUUGUGAAUGCUACUCACUCAAGCGCUAUGAAGAUUGCAUUAUAUGUUAAGCAUUGUAAUAUGUUAUUUACUUUGUAUUUACUGAUCUGGUCAUUUUCUAUUCCAUUAUUCUGAUGUACCGCUCUGACAAUUCUUUUAUUUCAGAUGCAUGAGUUAUGAAAUACUUGGGUCAUAAGUCCAUGGUGUAUUUUUGACUUAGUGAUGAUUGGAUUGAUAUUCAGAUAAUCGUUUCACUACUCCUUAGCUUUUUUGAAAUGACUGGCGAUUAAAUUGCUACUUACAUGUUUUUGUUUUGAACACUUCCAUCAGCAGUGAAAUUAGAGUUUUCUGUGUGCUGCAUUACAGAAACCGUUAUAUCAAAAAGUGACACUUCUGGAUGUAAAAUCACGUAUUUGCACAUUACACAGAACAGCGUUUCUAUAGGAAACGUGAUUGAACCUUUCAUUACUUUAGUGUGUGAAGUUGUUUUAAAUUUGCUUUAUCUAAUACUGUUUGUAAUCUGCUAGCAUGGAACCUUGCAUCAUCUUAAUGCUGUUUUAGCUCUUAGUUUAAAUUUUCCUCAAGCUUUUAAAUUCCAUUAUUGCGAAGUUGCGUUCUUGUCCUUGCUUAUGAGCUUUUAAAUUCUCUUAAGGUAAUGCUGUAUUCUUUUCUAAUAAAGCUUUAAGUACUAUAUUAUGACAAA